GUCAAUCAACUGAUCCAUCAAUCCAUGGAUUUCUGGACAGUCGGACAGCUGGGCAGCGGGCAGGAUGGGGGACUCUCGCUGAAGCCGCAUUCAUGUGUGUUCAGCUUUAGGCCCACCACUGUGCCCGGACCAGCGGCCUACUCGGUGAGUCGAACGUGCACCUGGCACCCCUCUUUUUGGAAAUCCACGAACACUGGGCUCCCAGCAGAGACUGAGGCUGAGCAGGCCACUUCCCUGGAGCUGACUCCACAGCUGUUUCUCUGUCUUUUGUUCCGGCUCUGGCCAUGCAACAAGCCUGCUCCUCUUUCACCUUCUGCCAUGACUGUAAGCUUCCUGAGGGCUGACCAGAAACCCAGCAGAUGCCAGCACCAUGCUUCCUAUACAGCCUGCAGAACUGCAAGCCAACUAAACCUCUUCUCAUGAAUUACUCAGCUUCAGAUUUAUCUUUAUAGCAAUGCAAGACCUGACUAUUACAACACAUGCUCCCCAAAAUAAAAAGAAAUAUUCAAACAAAUAGGCACAUAGGAGUCUUCCCAGUGGCACUAUUCACAGCAGACAAAAGGUGGCGGUAGCCACAGGCCUGUCAGCUGAUGAUAGAUAAAGAAAGCAUGGCCUGUCAUCCCAGCAUUUUAGGAGGCCGAGGCGGGCAGAUCACCUGAGGUCAGGAGUUCAAGACCAGCCUGGCCAACACGGUGAAACCCCGUCUCCACUAAAAAUAUAAAACUUAGCCAGGUGUGGUGAUGAGUGCCUGUAGUACCAGCUACUCGGGAGGCUGAGGCAGGAGAAUUGCUUGAACCCGGGAGGCAGAGGUUGCAGUGAGCUGAGAUCAUGCCAUUGCACUGCAGCCUGGGUAACAGAGUGAGACUCUGUCUCUAAAUAAAUGAAUAAAUAAAUGAAGUGCGGCAUAUCCAUGCAGGGGAAUAGCAUUCAGCCCUAAAAAGGGAUGAUGUGGGGACACGGGCGGUAACAUGAAGUGCCUGAAAACCCUGCUUGGCGGGAGAAGCAGACUCAGAGACCGCCGGUUGCACAAUUCCGCUGAUAGGAGAUGCACAGAGCGGCAGCUCCAUGGAGACAGAAAGCAGAUUCCGCGGUGCGGGGGUGGGGAGAGGAAUAGGAGUGACUGCCUAAUGGGCUCCAGAGCUCCUCAGGGGGUGACAAAAGUGUCUGGGGAGUAGACAGAGGUGGUGACUGCACAGUGUGGCAAAUGCACUAAAUGCCACUGAACCACACUCGUUAAAGUGGUCAUUUUAUGUCACGUGCAUUUCACCUGUUUUUAAAAAAAAAAAAAAAAACCAGUUCAGAGUCCAGCUCCAACCCUCUCUCAGUGACCUCUGCCCUGGGACACAGGGCCACCCAGACCGUGAGCUUGGGCCCCCUCGGGCUGCCCACUGAGGAGGGGCAGCUACUGCUGAGGUCUGACCUUGCCUCUCCUGAUGCCCCAGCCACACUUGGGAGAGAGGAAGGGUGGGGGGUGGCUGCCCUUCUGGCCAAAGACACUGUCCCAGGGCCAGUCACAGGUUUGCCAGGGAGGGCCGUAAGAGACCUCAGCGUUAGCACUGCCCAAGUCCGUCUGCUGCUGGCAUAUUCCCUGUGUGGGGACAGAGGAAUGCCCACUACCCCUAAGGAUGUCCAAGAAUCCGUGGCCAUGCCACCUUAUGUGGCAGCAGGGACUCUGCAGGAGGGACGGAGCCGGAUGCUGUGUGUGGGCCCAGUGUCCUCACAGGGUCCUUAGGAGAGGGGGUGGGAGGGUCAGAGUCAGGGGGAGCCUGGAAGACACAGCACAGCUGGAUUUAAGGUGGAGGAGGGGCCACGGGUGAAGGGGCGCAGGAGCCUCCAGGUCCCGGAGGGAGCAGUACCCGAAUUCUCCCCAGGGCCUCCAGCAGCCAGCCCUGCCAACACCUGGACUUUAGAUUUCUUUCCCUUUCGGAGCUGCAAGACAAUAAACUGUGGCUUUUGUUACAGCAGCCA